rnacentral:rRNA from 1 species
GGUGUUGAUAGCGGUGAGGAUCCACCUGUACCCAUACCGAACACAGAAGUUAAGCUCACUUGCGCCGACAAUACUUGGCUGGGGACGGCCUGGGAAGAUAGGUAGAUGCCG